rnacentral:rRNA from 1 species
UGGGGAAUUUUGGACAAUGGGGGAAACCCUGAUCCAGCCAUCCCGCGUGUGCGAUGAAGGCCUUCGGGUUGUAAAGCACUUUUGGCAGGAAAGAAACGUCGCGGGUUAAUACCCCGCGGAACUGACGGUACCUGCAGAAUAAGCACCGGCUAACUACGUGCCAGCAGCCGCGGUAAUACGUAGGGUGCAAGCGUUAAUCGGAAUUACUGGGCGUAAAGCGUGCACAGGCGGUUCGGAAAGAAAGAUGUGAAAUCCCAGAGCUUAACUUUGGAACUGCAUUUUUAACUACCGGGCUAGAGUGUGUCAGAGGGAGGUGGAAUUCCGCGUGUAGCAGUGAAAUGCGUAGAUAUGCGGAGGAACACCGAUGGCGAAGGCAGCCUCCUGGGAUAACACUGACGCUCAUGCACGAAAAGCGUGGGGAGCAAACAGGAUUAGAUACCCUGGUAGUCCACGCCCUAAACGAUGUCAACUAGCUGUUGGGGUCUUCGGACCUUGGUAGCGCAGCUAACGCGUGAAGUUGACCGCCUGGGGAGUACGGUCGCAAGAUUAAAACUUAAAGGAAUUGACGGGGUGCAUAGCUG